CGAACAGGUUCGUCGCUUGAGUUUGUUGUGUUGUGUGGUGGUGCAAAAAUACGAAAAAAUCUUUACUUUUCGGUUACCUUUGUAUUUGUUUGUAUUUACAAAUGAACUACAAUGGUCAGAGAGUAUAAAAGAAAACUGGGUG